rnacentral:lncRNA from 1 species
GCCAUGAGGGCGGGAACCCUCGUACGCGGAAGUUCAUGAGGGCGGGACCCUCGUACGCGGAAGGUCAUGAGGGCGGGACCCUCGUACGCGGAAGUUCAUGCGGGCGGGACCCUCGUACGUGGAAGGUCAUGAGGGCGGGACCCUCGUACGUGGAAGGUCAUGAGGGCGGAACCCUGGUACAUGAAAUUCGUUCUCUUAUUUAAGAGACAAAGAACGCCCUUGUUUUUUCCACCACGUGAUGGCGCAGACAGAAGACAACCAGCAUCUAUGAACCAGGAAGCCCCCACCAGGCACUGAAUCUGCCCCUGCGUGGAUCUUAGACUUGCAGACUCCAGAACUAACCUUACAAUGUCUCUUCUCCAUUAAGAAAACCUACUUCAACAUCUCCAUUGGUUCUCAACAUAGAGGUCCAAAUUUUGGUCUGGAGCCAGAGACAAUAUAGGAUGAAGUUUGAUUUGUUCCAAAACCCACAGAAAUCUCUAAAAUGGAAGAAUUUUCUUAGAACCAAAAGGCAUGGAAUUGAUGACAUGAAACUGCCUGAGCUUCUCAGCUGACCUGUGAUGGAGUGUUGUGCCCAAGUGGAAAGUUCUUCUUUCUUUCAGAGACAUAUCAUUCACCAUAAAAUACAACCAGAGACUUCAAAAUUACUCCAGGCUAGAAGGACACUCCAAUUAGGGGAAAAGUAACCUAUGGGCAAACCAUCUUCCGUAAGAGUUCAAGGACAAAAAACUACUGAUGUUGUAAUAACAUUGAAACUUAAUGUUUUGGGCAAUCCUUAAGUGAUUUAUUUGGAGUGUCCCAGUCAUUUUAGACCUCUUCACCUUACAAUGUAUUGUGUGAGAUUAUAUUUCCAUGCACCUAAUUUUAAAAUAAAUUUAUUUAGGUAGAUGUAGAGACAUAUUACUGUGAUAAAGCAGUUCAUACCAAAUAAAAUUUAGCUAA